UGGGGAAUAUUGGACAAUGGGGGCAACCCCGAUUCAGCAAUGCCGCGUGUGUGAAGAAGGCCUUCGGGUUGUAAAGCACUUUCAGUGGGGACAAACAAGGCGGAGCUAACACCUCCGUCCCUGAUGGUACCCAAAGAAGAAGCACCGGCUAACUCUGUGCCAGCAGCCGCGGUAAUACAGAGGGUGCAAGCGUUAAUCGGAAUUACUGGGCGUAAAGCGUGCGUAGGUGGUUUGUUAAGUCUGAUGUGAAAGCCCUCGGCUCAACCGAGGAAGUGCAUUGGAUACUGGCAGGCUUGAGUAUGGGAGAGGAGAGCGGAAUUCCCGGUGUAGAGGUGAAAUUCGUAGAUAUCGGGAGGAAGGCCGGUGGCGAAGGCGGCGCUCUGGAACGUUUCUGACGCUGAGGCUCGAAAGCGUGGGGAGCAAACAGGAUUAGAUACCCUGGUAGUCCACGCCCUAAACGAUGGAUACUAAGUGUCGGCGGGUUACCGCCGGUGCCGCAGCUAACGCAGUAAGUAUCCCGCCUGGGGAGUACGGCCGCAAGGUUG
rnacentral:rRNA from 1 species